rnacentral:snoRNA from 1 species
GACUUCUUGUAGUUUAUAAGUUGUGAUGAUUGGAUUUUCACACCACUGUGUAAGAUAUGACUCCCUCAGACCUUGUUACAGUGUCAGCACAUUGCCUAACCAAUG